rnacentral:rRNA from 1 species
UUGGGAAUAUUGGACAAUGGGCGAAAGCCUGAUCCAGCCAUGCCGCGUGUGUGAAGAAGGUCUUCGGAUUGUAAAGCACUUUAAGUUGGGAGGAAGGGCAUUAACCUAAUACGUUAGUGUUUUGACGUUACCGACAGAAUAAGCACCGGCUAACUCUGUGCCAGCAGCCGCGGUAAUACAGAGGGUGCAAGCGUUAAUCGGAAUUACUGGGCGUAAAGCGCGCGUAGGUGGUUUGUUAAGUUGGAUGUGAAAUCCCCGGGCUCAACCUGGGAACUGCAUUCAAAACUGACUGACUAGAGUAUGGUAGAGGGUGGUGGAAUUUCCUGUGUAGCGGUGAAAUGCGUAGAUAUAGGAAGGAACACCAGUGGCGAAGGCGACCACCUGGACUAAUACUGACACUGAGGUGCGAAAGCGUGGGGAGCAAACA